rnacentral:lncRNA from 10 species
CAGCUCUCAGAUGGCAUAUAAAAUGAGAGGAAAAGAGCACCUGAUCGGGCUGACAUCAAGAGAUCACAAGUGUUUGCAGGUUUUCCAGAGUGUUUAGGAAUAAAAGAGCAGUGAGUCAAAGUGUGUGGAAGAAGGAGCAGGAGCAGAGGAAAAGGUGUUGGUCCCAGCGGGUGGGAAAGAAUUAACAGUGCGGAGAGUAGGGGGGAGGAAGGAGAAUUCUCUGCCCUGACAAAAAAGGUGAGCUUCCAGAAACCUGGGACCUCAGUGAACUUGCAAGACGCCUCUAAUAAAGGAAAACAACUGAGGAAAACUGUUGAAGUGAUGAAGAAGGAGGUUACCUUCUAGGACUCCCCCGGUGCUGUCUUUCUGCGGAGCCCCCUUCUUCUCAGCCUCUAACCAGCCACCCGGGGAGCUGAGUCCUUCCCCCCGGCGCCCAGGCUGCUGCGCGGAGCUCAGACACACGUCCAUAGCCGGCUGUCCCAAAGACAGCUGUGCAUUGAAAAGCAAUCUACAAAAGAACGACUAUAAUCUACUGACUGACUGUUACUAGUUCAGCACAUCUAUGAUCUACAUCGCAUGUUCGUAAUUAAUACAGAAUUGGAAAUGACUCCUUGUUAGUAUGCCCAAAAUAAUUUUGAAUUGUUACACGUAUCUUUACCUUAUGCAGCAGAAGAGAUGUGAGGCUUCUGUGCACUCUUUAAUCCCCAGUGUUUUAUAUAGGUCUACACCUGAAAGGAUUAGCAUUUGAUGAACAAAAUCCAGCCAGUGGAAGCCCAAGUUAUUUAGGGUAGCAUUAUCUACCAGUCCUCAUAGACACAUUACUUUGCUAGAAUUCUCUCUCUUUCUCUCUCUCUCUCUCUCUCUCUCUCUCACACACACACACACACACACACACACACGCACAGUCCUAGCAACAUUCAAUGGAAUUCCCUUCAAAAGUUUCAGGAAUAUCACUGGAACAGAACAGAGGCUGCCCCUGUGGCAUCCAGUUGCUGCGAUGUGGUUCGAAACGUUAGACUUCCAGUUCACUUUUCAAAGAAGUGGGUGUUGGACAGUUGCACAGACUUGCAAAUUUUGUGCUCAUUUGCCAAACUCCAGUAGCCACAGGGAGGACAUGCCCACCCAGCCUCUGCCUAGGACCCGUAUCCAGGCAGCCAGAAAGAACACAAGGAUCUACCAAGAGGAAGGGAAUGCUUUGGGGAGGAAGAAAGGAGAGCAUCUAUCCAUGAGAAGGGACGGGAGUCAAAGGCUUAACGUUGAAUCUGGGGGAUUUAGAGCAGAGGGAAGAGGAAAUCAGAAAAACUCUUCCAAGAAAAAGUAAGCCAUUGUGAUUUAUUUAACUGAAAUAAGGGAUAGUCAAAAGGGAAGGAGAAAAAUCAUGUGCUCAUUUGUGAAGCUCAGAAACCCUUAAAAUAGAAUAUAGGUCACACAAAGUAAAGCCUCAGACAAAUGGGAAUUAAAGAAUCACUUGUGAUAGGCUACAUUCAACCAGGGAGUUGGAUGAAUGGUGUUUUAACCUGAGUAGAUAUAAAAGCCCAUUUUUGUUUUUGUACCCACCCUCGGUACUCGUUUCUCUGGUGUCACUAUUUUGUGUUCUUUAUGUCAGUUUCUUUUCACUCAGGAUGUUCAUCUAGAUGUGCUGUGGUCCCAUGUAAAUCACCUUUCCCACUUUCUUAAAUGACUGGGGAUAAGCCGGCAUUUGUUCCAGCUCUAUCGUUCUAAUGCUUUCUUAUUCCCCAAAUGCAUCUAGUUCUAUGAUUGCAUUCUGCAUCUCUGCAACUUAUUUCUUCCAGGUGUCAUCAGUCCCUAUGAGAAAUAGCAAAAAGAUAGUCAUCAGUACAAUUCUACAAAAACCUUUUAAAAACUGAUUGCAAUGUACGUGAAUAUAUGUGUGUAUAUUUAUAUGCAUGUAGACACACACAUAGACAAACAUAUGCGUUCAUUCUACAAGCUUUAAAAUGAAGCAAAGGACGAAGGAAAAAAUGUUGAUCUCCUUUAAUUCUACUAUCUAGAGAAAGAAACCUCACCAACUUUUUUUUUUGUAUCAACUUCUAGGCUUAUUUUUUUUGUAUAAACUUUUUUAAAGCUAUUUUACUGAAAAUGUGACUUGAUAGAAACAUGUACCUCUUUAACCUAGCAUCCUAUUAAGAGUUCCUUUUUAGGAUGAGUUCAUGUCCUUUGCAGGGACAUGGAUGAAGCUGGAAACCAUCAUUCUCAGCAAACUAACACAGGAACAGAAAACCAAACACCACAUGUUCUCACUCAUAAGUGGGAGUCGAACAAUGAGAACACAUGGACACAGGGAGGGGAACAUCACACACCUGGGCCUGUCAGGGGGUGGGGGACUUAGGGGACGGAGAGCAUUAGGAGAAAUACCUAAUGUAGAUGAUGGGUUGAUGGGUGCAACAAACCACCAUGGCACGUGUAUACCUAUGUAACAAACCUGCACAUUCUGCAUGUGUACCCCA